rnacentral:sRNA from 1 species
UAUCCUAUACAUCAAUGGUGAUUGGCAGGAGACUUUCAAGGCUUUAAGAGUGUUGUAAAGGGGGUGAUUGGAAGGGACUAUUAGUUUUGACUGUAAAGACUUUCGCUUUAAGAACUUUGGUAUAACAAACUUUGACUGCAAAGACUUUCGAUUUAAGAACUUUGGAUGUUAAAAUCUGAUUGGUAUAACAAAACUGUAGAAGUUGUGACUGUUAUUUUUUAAAAAUUAU